GACGAACGCUGGCGGCGUGCUUAACACAUGCAAGUCGAACGGAAAGGCCCUGCUUUUGUGGGGUGCUCGAGUGGCGAACGGGUGAGUAACACGUGAGUAACCUGCCCUUGACUUUGGGAUAACUUCAGGAAACUGGGGCUAAUACCGGCUAGGAGCUCCUGCUGCAUGGUGGGGGUUGGAAAGUUUCGGCGGUUGGGGAUGGACUCGCGGCUUAUCAGCUUGUUGGUGGGGUAGUGGCUUACCAAGGCUUUGACGGGUAGCCGGCCUGAGAGGGUGACCAGCCACAUUGGGACUGAGAUACGGCGCAGACUCCUACGGGAGGCAGCAGUGGGGAAUAUUGCACAAUGGGCGGAAGCCUGAUGCAGCAACGCCGCGUGCGGGAUGACGGCCUUCGGGUUGUAAACCGCUUUCGCCUGUGACGAAGCGUGAGUGACGGUAAUGGGUGAAGAAGCACCGGCUAACUACGUG
rnacentral:rRNA from 1 species